rnacentral:rRNA from 1 species
UGGGGAAUUUUGGACAAUGGGGGCAACCCUGAUCCAGCCAUGCCGCGUGCGGGAAGAAGGCCUUCGGGUUGUAAACCGCUUUUAUUCGGAAAGAAGGAGUGCGGGCUAAUACCCUGCAUGACAGACGGUACCGGAUGAAUAAGCACCGGCUAACUACGUGCCAGCAGCCGCGGUAAUACGUAGGGUGCGAGCGUUAAUCGGAAUUACUGGGCGUAAAGCGUGCGCAGGCGGUUGGCAAAGUCAGCUGUGAAAGCCCCGGGCUUAACCUGGGAAUGGCGGUUGAAACUAGUCGACUAGAAUCUGGCAGAGGGGGGUGGAAUUCCACGUGUAGCAGUGAAAUGCGUAGAGAUGUGGAGGAACACCGAUGGCGAAGGCAGCCCCCUGGGCUGAGAUUGACGCUCAGGCACGAAAGCGUGGGGAGCAAACAG